CAUAUGUUCAUUCAUUUAUUUUAUCAAAGAAUUCAGCAUCAAUUUACAAGCUCUGCAGAAGCUCGGAGAGUGACCCAGC